UCUCUCUCUCUCUCUCUCUCUGCCGCUCCCUGACCGGCUUCCUUCCCCCUCCCCCCUUUCCCCCGUCCCGCUUGUCGUCGUCUACAUCACUACACCGCUAAAAGAACUUGCCAGCGUUUCUGCAGGCAAGCAGGACAGCACAUGCUUGUCCCACAUAAGCCUGUUAUGAAGAGGAGUUGAAAGGCCUUGCAUACAAGCUAAGCUUCCUCUCUUGAUUCAGGUUCAGAGCCGGGGCGAUAGACUUGUCUCACGCCGACGAAGGAUAGCAUGAGGCUCGGAAACGCUUGGCUGAACCACAUGCACCGUUGUGGUGUGGAAAAGCUCCCAAAAGCCUUACUAAGCUUGGCGCCGAAGUAGAAGCUUGGCUGCAGACAUGAUAGUGAGCAAAGGCAAAAGUUAGGAUACCAUUGUUCGACCCAUGCUCGUAACAGCACUGCCCAAACAGGGGAUUGAGAGCAAGCAACUGGUAUGCAACUGUAGUAAUUACUCAGCUUCACGAAACAUAUUUUCAUUCAUGCACGUCUGGUGGUCCUCAGACACAGAAGAACAAUGUCAUUUCUCUUCUUGCCUGACAAGUUGUUUUACUCUAAAAGAAAAUCUUCCCUUAAGGCCUAAAUAGUUAUAUUAUCUGUAACAUCUUUCAGGUCGGCAGUCUGCAAACCGCAUUUUGACACUACAGGAAACCGCUUGUGCGCGGUUUUGCGGUUGUAGCAAGGUCAAGCCAGCCAGUACAAUUUGGACUACUGGAGGAAAGGCAGGUGCAACUCAAGGAAAAUGCACAAGGGACGGAAACGCAUUUUUUGUCAUCGUGACCUGUAUGCGCCUCAGGCAGUGGGCAUAGCUUGGCGGUCCAGUACAUAACUAAAACACGGACACAGGCGGAUAGAGAGAGCCCCUAGCUCGCGCACAACAUAACAUCCAGGAUAACUCAAAGCAGCAGGUAAGCUAGCUGCGACUGUAUGGUUAGGAGCACUGAUGUUUUAUUCCCCUGGUUUUAUGGUAAGGUUGACUCAUGAAAUACAGCUUUCGCCUUUCCUCAUUUACUAAGCAUAGCCUGCCGCUACUCAAGGUGGAGUACGAGGCGCGGUAGCUGAUUGUGGAAGGGGAGGGGGGAAAGGGGGGCGGAAGGAGGGGACCAGCAAGGAGGGGGAUGCAGAUUCAAGGAGUGCAGGGGAGUCACUGCUGCAUAACCAUGCUAGUGAACCCAACCAAUAACAUGCCACUUCUGACUUCGUGUUGUGUGUACACCACUUCCUCAAUCCCUCCAUCCCGCACACCCUCCCUAACUCCAUCUGGUACCUAAUAGAUGUAUCGGCAGUUAUUCCUUAUUGCCAUAUGUGAAUGUUUCCUGCCCGCAUCUAUCUUCGGAGUUCGACUCCACCCCUUCUUUUCCCAGCCCCCCUCCCCCUCAGUUCUGCUUCUCUUUACUUGGCAGCAGCUUCACUCGUUCGUGGUUCAUCUGCCCCACCAUCACCACCCCUCUCCCUCCUUUCCCCCCCGUGUGCAGGAGGUCUAGGGUGAGGUGCCUCAUCCCGACCGGUGAGAAGCUGGCGGACCAGCAGCAGCAGCAGGAGGCGGUGGACGGGCCAGACAGGCCCAGAGGCAGUGGCAGUGCCCAGGCUAGCUUCCGUGUGCCAGGAGUGAGUAGCAUGGGCAUGGGAGGUGAGGUGUGAGUGCAUGGGUAAAAUUUUCCCUCUCCCCAACCCUGGUCUCUGUCCCCAUGCCGCCCUCCCCUACCCCCACAUCACCCCCCUUACCCCUUCCCUGGAGGCCCAGAUCUCGCUUCGUGUGGGUUUCCCUUCCCUUUCCUUUCACCUCCGUUCACCCCCCUCUGCAGGCCUCCUUCUGAGGACCUCCCUCUGCCAGCUCCUCCACCUCCCCACCCCCCUGCUGCUAGGGCCUGCUGCACAGCAGUGCACUCACUGGCAAAGCGGCGGUAGUACUGGUCGGCGCCGGUUAGGAACAUGGUGGCCACCAAGAGGGUGCCAGCAAAGGCCUUGAGGGCAGGGGGCACAUUGGCGAGCCCGUAACGGUGUAUGGUGCUCUGCGGAUCUGUGGCGAGGAGGAUGGCUGCAUCACGGGCCGCCUGCAACAAGAGGUGCUGUAGGGGCUUGAGGGCGGUUGGUGUGGCUAUGGUGGCUAUGCUGACCGCCUGGUUGGCCUGAUGCUGUGUCUGCAUGUCGCUGAGGUGCCAAACCAGCGCCGGGUUCUUGGCAAACUGGUGCAUUGGGUAGCGCAGCAGUAGGUUGGCAGCCCAGGUAUCCUCUGUCAUGUGCGCUGGGCGGCAGCCGGCCAACCCGUUGGGGAAGGCGGACAGGCGCACCCAUUUGGGCAGGUAAUCACUGAUGGGUGCCGCACCCCAUCCCCCCAUAUUGCUGAUGAUGAGGCCGCUGCUGUGGAGCAGUGACAGAAUGUGCUGCGGGUUGUGGUUGGCCAUGUGGGCCAUGUUGUAAUUGAUGGUGUUGGGUUGCAGCAAUUCCACCUCAGUGAUGCCAGCCAUUGGUCCUGGAGGGUCCGGGUCAGCUGGAGGGAUGGGGCACAACAAGUCACAGGGGCAUGCGAAUGAACCCAGGUGAUGGCAAGUGAACAGGUACUGCAUCAGGUUAAGUGGCGGCGCAGGCACAGCCGGUGGUGGUGUGGUUGGAGGCAGGGCGGCGACUUGACCAGGUGACAUCACAGGGGGCACAAUGUGGACAUGGGGUCAGUCCGGUGGCUGCAGGAGAGAUACAAGGCAGAGGGGGUCAGCAAGGGGCCAGCAGUCAGCAGACACAUCAGCUGCACAGGGCGCAUAGCGGUCAGCAGGGGCCGAUAGGGUCACCCCUCAUCAGGGUAGCUGCAGCCCUAUUGCUGCAGAUGGUGCAAAGAGGAGUGCUGCACAUGCAGGUGUGGUGCAAGUGUGGCUGCCUGGAGCCCUCCCUGGCC
rnacentral:lncRNA from 1 species